ACCAAUGUGGAUUAGUUGAAGAAGUAUUACAUUUGAGACCAUGGUCGCAGGAUGGGUGGCCAUCAUUUCGGUUAGCCUUACACCUUAUCACCUUUAUUGAUAUAUUAAAAACCAUUGCUAGCCCAUUGAGCCUCACGUGGUAUGUUAUAGCCUUAUUUCUUUCUUAUAGCCUUGAUUACCAUUUCUACACCCGGGUUGGGACCCUUUGGUGUAUAUGCAU
rnacentral:lncRNA from 1 species